AAUCAAACCUAUUAAUAUUUGCAGCAACACCUUUUUUGUUGCAUGAACAAAACUAGAGUUUAUAUGAAAGUGUUUAGAAAUAAUCCAGAAAUACCAGAAUAAUCAGCUUAUCUCAUGCAUUUAUAGACAGCAACAACAACAAAAAAGACGUCACACCGUCACCUAAGCAGCCUACUGAACCACAGCAGCCCAACAAACCAUCUUCAUUUGGCGUUGGCUUUGAUUUCUAAGGUUCUAGAAGGUAGAAAACGUGGUUUAAUUUUUUUUUUCCCCCUAAAGAAAAGUACAGUACAGUAAGGUAAAGUUGAGCUUUCUGGGCUGACAGACACUCCCAGCAGGACACACCUCCAACAACAGACAGGUAAAGGAAUUCACAAAACACGCGUUUUGCUUGAGCACAAGGCAUUUUAUGAGCGAUUUAGCAGAUUGGGGAUAUGCACAUAAAAUUAUUCACUUACCAAUUUCUAAGAGCAAUCACAGGGAAGAGAGAUUUGAAGUUUAGAAAUGUGCGUCACACCAACACUGGCUCCAGGUCUUCAGGCUGUCAACGUCGCGCAGAUCUCUGAGACGCAGCUGUGUUUUAUCUUUCAGAUUACUGUCGUUAAUCAGUACAACGAGUGAAGGAUUGAGUGGUGUGUGUGUGGGUGUGUGGGUGUGUGUGUGAUCACAGCACAUUGAGCUCUGGCGCUUUUUAAAGGGAUUUAGAGCGACCUCAGGCUCCAGCCCUCCUCCUCCUCCUCCUCCUCCUUCUCUCAAUGGUGCUCCGAGACCUUGGCAAGCUUCCAAAAUCUACAAGAGUUAAUCUUUAAUCCUCAAAUGGAGUAUUUUACUCACACGGCAACGAUUUCCACAGCAACCCUUCCCACAGCAGCCCUUUCCACCAGCUCUGAUAGCCGAACAGCUUGGACACAGCAUCUGAUGGACAAUGAAUAUCAUUAUAAAAAAUGCUUUAAGGACUUCUACAAUGACAGCUAUUAUAUUUCUUGUAAAAAAAAAAACGCUCACAUAGUGCCUAUGUUCCAUGAAUAAAUUUUACAAUGUUUAUAUUA